AUGGUCGAGGGCAGGAAGGCUGUCAAGUUCGCAGAGCCAAUCGUCCAAGGCACCCCUGAGGAGAUUUCACCGUCACUUGAUGAAUGUUACCGUAGGAUCGAGGAGGCAGCAUUGCAGAGGCGGUCCUCACGAGGUCAGGGGCAAUCAAGUUCCAAUGUGCCUGCAGAUACGGUAUCUGAGGAUACCAUUAGGAGUGCCACCCCUGGUUCUAUGAGGCUGCAGAGGGUAGUUCACCCACCUCCCGCGGAAGACUACGAGCCCGAAGUCAGGGCCACAAAGGAACAGACCCAGCUGUAUGAUAUUGUCAAGUGA
rnacentral:rRNA from 1 species